rnacentral:rRNA from 1 species
UACGUAGGGUGCAAGCGUUGUCCGGAAUUAUUGGGCGUAAAGAGCUCGUAGGCGGCUUGUCGCGUCGUCCGUGAAAACCUGUGGCUCAACUGCAGGCUGGCGGUCGAUACGGGCAGGCUGGAGUUCGGUAGGGGAGACUGGAAUUCCUGGUGUAGCGGUGAAAUGCGCAGAUAUCAGGAGGAACACCGGUGGCGAAGGCGGGUCUCUGGGCCGAUACUGACGCUGAGGAGCGAAAGCGUGGGGAGCGAACAGG